AAUUAAGGUUUAGUUGUUGUUUGUCACAAUUUUGAUAAUUCCAAUAUAUAUUUUGCCAAGACCAAAUUCAACCAAGCAAUGUGCUUGGUUCUAGCUAGUUAUACCACCAAAAUGUGUCCAAGUUAGGUCAUUAUCAGCUUAUUUUCACAUAUAAAUAAAUCAUUUCACACAUAAGAGUUGGAAGGGAAAACAAGAUAAUGAACCCAACAAUAAUUGAUCACUAAAAACUAAUGCAGUAUUGGAAGAAGAAUAAAAUUAGGAUACUUGGGAAUUUUAUUCCAUGUAAAAU
rnacentral:misc_RNA from 1 species